rnacentral:sRNA from 12 species
CCCUGACAGUUGCAUGAUGCGACUGACAAACCCAGACAGGAGAAUAACAUG